CGAGCACGCGUGGGAGAGAUCGCCCAGGCGGCGCCGAAGGGGCAAUUCCUCCCCGGAACCUCUCAGGCACCACGGACCACGCGGACAAG
rnacentral:ncRNA from 2 species